ensembl:snRNA U4 U4 spliceosomal RNA
AGCUUAGCACAGUGACAGUAUCGUAACCAAUGAGGUUUAUCCAAAGCACGAUUAUUGCUAAUUGAAAAAUUUUCCCAAUACCCUGCCAUGAUGACUUGAAAUAUAGUUGGCAGUGGCAAUUUUUGACAGUCUCCACGAAGA